rnacentral:RNase_P_RNA from 1 species
AGAUCUGAAGUGAAUUUCACUGCUCAAAUCUUCAAGUUUCGGAUCAUUCUGAAAUAUCAGGCUUGAGUUAGGUUCCGGGAGAGGAAAGUCCGAACACUACAGGGCAGCGAGCCCGCUAACGGCGGGGCGCCUGAAUUAAUCUCAGAUUUGAGAGCUCAAAUUUCAAAUCUCAAUCUCAGAUUUUCAGAUCUCAAAUUUCAAAUCUGAGAUCUGAGAUUUCAGGAUCCGAGAUUUCAAGAUCUUAUGAGAUCUGAGAUUUCAAAUCUGAGAUUAUUCGGGCGACGACAAGUGCAACAGAAAACAUGCCAGCCUACCGGCUUGAGCUCUCAAGUUUUUGAGGGCUCAGAUAGGAUCUCAGAUUGAAGAUCUGGGAUUCUAAAGUCGAGGUGAUGGGUGAAACGGUGCGGCCCGCAAGGGCUUAAAGUAAGAGCGCACCGGCGUACGUGGUGACAUGUACGGCCAGGCAAACUCCUCGCGGUGCAAGAUCAAAUAGGGAGGCGUCAACAGGGCUGCCCGCCCAAAGCAGCUUCCGAUUUGAGAUCUUAGAUCUCAAAUCCAGGAUUUCAGAAAUGAAAUCUUGAGCUGCUACGACCUCCGGGUAGAUCGCUUGAUCCAAUCUGGCAACAGUUGGACUAGAUGAAUGAUCGCCACUCCGAUUUCAGAUUUUAGAUCUCAGCUUGAGGAUCUCAAAUUUCAGAUCUCAGAUUUGAGAUCGUAAAUCUGAAAUCGGAGUACAGAAUUCGGCUUAUAGACCUGUUCUACUU